rnacentral:ncRNA from 1 species
CAUCGCUUGACGGAGCGCAGUUAACGAACUGCUGAGAUCGCAUAAGUUGUCUUUUGAUCAACUUGAAUGUGAGUACCGUUGAACCUGAUCAGGUUAAGACCUGCGUAGGAAUCAAGCCAUCUAAAAAC